rnacentral:rRNA from 1 species
GCUGGCGGCGUGCCUAACACAUGCAAGUCGUACGAGAAAUCCCGAGCUUGCUUGGGAGAGUAAAGUGGCGUACGGGUGAGUAUCGCGUGGGUAACCUACCCCUGAAUCUGGGAUAACUUCACGAAAGCGAAGCUAAUACCGGAUAAGACCACAGCCGCUCCGGCGGCAGAGGUAAAAGCUGACCUCUCCAUGGAAGUUAGCGUUUGGGCGGGCCCGCGUCCUAUCAGCUUGUUGGUGGGGUAACGGCCUACCAAGGCUGCGACGGGUAGCUGGUCUGAGAGGAUGAUCAGCCACACUGGAACUGGAACACGGUCCAGACUCCUACGGGAGGCAGCAGUGAGGAAUUUUGCGCAAUGGGCGCAAGCCUGACGCAGCAACGCCGCGUGGGUGAAGAAGGCCUUCGGGUCGUAAAGCCCUGUCAGGUGGGAAGAACCACUUCAGCACCAAUAAUGCUGAAGUCUGACGGUACCACCAGAGGAAGCACCGGCCAACUCCGUG